UACGAAGGACCCGAGCGUUAUCCGGAUUUAUUGGGUUUAAAGGGUGCGUAGGCGGAUUAGUAAGUCAGUGGUGAAAGCCCGUCGCUUAACGGCGGAACUGCCAUUGAUACUGCUAGUCUUGAGUAUGGUUGAGGUGGGCGGAAUGUGUCAUGUAGCGGUGAAAUGCUUAGAUAUGACCCCGAACACCAAUUGCGAAGGCAGCUCGCUAAGCCAUAACUGACGCUGAGGCACGAAAGCGUGGGGAGCAAACAGG
rnacentral:rRNA from 1 species